UUGUGCCCGCCUAUGAAAGAACAAACGAAGACGUUGUUUUGCGUCGUAGACGUAAGCUUAUAGUGUAUGCUUGUUGUUUAUGCUGAUAGUCUAUGCUCUCAGCUUUCACUAAGACGGUGGUCACGCUCCAGUAUUCAUCCACGGCCCCUGUGUUGUAUUUCCUAUCGGGCUGCUUCUGCAGUCUUGAGAUUGCGUCCCGUCAGGUCAUUAACUCCACCAAGGGAAGACUGAAGCUGCUUUCUAGCAGCUGUCGGACGAUGCAUCUCGUUUUCGUUUCUAAAAGCUUUUCAGCUUGAACCGAUAAACAGCAACGCACAGCGAUUCACAGGUCGUCCAUUCAGCGGCGAGCUGUUCCCGAGCAUAAGCGUUGUUGCUGGCGGACGUAAUUGCUGCAGAUUGUAAUGCAACGUGGAUGGGCGACUUCACGAGAGCUGUCAGAGGAUGAAAAGAAGCCGCCUUCGUGGGAACAUUUCUCGAUACGAAAACGGUUAUUUAGCAGGCUCUUCGCAUUUCAAGGGUUAUAUCAGACUGGACGAGGGAGAGAAUUAUUGUAGCGGAAGACAAAAAAGAUUGAAGAGUAUGUGGAUGUCAAAUCAAUUAACCUCAAGACAUCAUCACGCACACACACAUCAUGGUCAGGAAUGAUGUGCUUCUUUAUAAGCACCUGUUACUACACGGCACUCGCUCAUUUACAUGCAUGUUCUUCACCGCCACAGGAUGUCAUAAAUAAACCAGGACUACGUUA